GAUGAAGAACGUAGCGAAAUGCGAUACGUAAUGUGAAUUGCAGAAUUCAGUGAAUCAUCGAGUCUUUGAACGCACAUUGCGCCCCCUGGUAUUCCGGGGGGCAUGCCUGUCCGAGCGUCAUUGCUGCCCUCAAGCACGGCUUGUGUGUUGGGCCUCCGUCCUCCUCCCGGGGGACGGGCCCGAAAGGCAGCGGCGGCACCGCGUCCGGUCCUCGAGCGUAUGGGGCUUCGUCACCCGCUCUUGUAGGCCCGGCCGGCGCUUGCCGACACAUCAAUCUUUUUUCCAGGUUGACCUCGGAUCAGGUAGGGAUACCCGCUGAACAUAAGCAUAUCAAUAAGCGGAGGA
rnacentral:misc_RNA from 1 species